GAUGGGUAGCCCUACUGUAAAAGAAGG
rnacentral:piRNA from 1 species